CCUACGGGUGGCAGCAGUGAGGAAUAUUGGUCAAUGGACGAAAGUCUGAACCAGCCAAGUCGCGUGAAGGAUGACGGCUCUAUGGGUUGUAAACUUCUUUUGUACGGGAGUAAAAUCAGGUACGUGUGUCUGUUUGAAUGUAUCUUAUGAAUAAGGAUCGGCUAACUCCGUGCCAGCAGCCGCGGUAAUACGGAGGAUCCAAGCGUUAUCCGGAUUUAUUGGGUUUAAAGGGUGCGUAGGCGGGUUGAUAAGUUCGAGGUGAAAAGUUGUGGCUCAACUAUGGAAGUGCAUUUGAUACUGUGAGACUAGAGUACAGGUGAGGUAGGCGGAAUGCGUGGUGUAGCGGUGAAAUGCGUAGAUAUCAGGAAGAACCCCGAUUGCGAAGGCAGCUUACUAAACUGUGACUGACGUUGAGGCUCGAAAGUGUGGGGAGCAAACAGGAUUAGAUACCCUUGUAGUC
rnacentral:rRNA from 1 species